UACGUAGGGUGCAAGCGUUGUCCGGAUUUAUUGGGCGUAAAGAGCUCGUAGGCGGUUUGUCGCGUCUGCCGUGAAAGUCCGGGGCUCAACUCCGGAUCUGCGGUGGGUACGGGCAGACUAGAGUGCAAUAGGGGAGACUGGAAUUCCUGGUGUAGCGGUGAAAUGCGUAGAUAUCGUUUGGAACGCCAACGGUGAAAAACAGACAGCUGGGGAGUGUGCUGACGCUGAGACACGAAAGCCAGGGGGAGCGAACGGG
rnacentral:rRNA from 1 species